rnacentral:rRNA from 1 species
CGCCUUGCCAGCCCGCUCAGAAACUCAAAGGAAUUGAGGGGACCCCGCACAAGCGGUGGAGCAUGUGGUUUUAAUUCGAAGCAACGCGAAGAACCUUACCAGGUCUUGACAUCCCAUUGACCGGACAGUAACGUGUCCUUUCCUUCGGGACAAUGGAGACAGGUGGUGCAUGGUUGUCGUCAGCUCGUGUCGUGAGAUGUUGGGUUAAGUCCCGCAACGAGCGCAACCCCUACGUUUAGUUGCUAACAGGUGAAGCUGAGCACUCUAGACGAACUGCCGUUGACAAAACGGAGGAAGGUGGGGAUGACGUCAAAUCAUCAUGCCCCUUAUGUUCUGGGCUACACACGUGCUACAAUGGCCGGUACAGACGGAGGCGAAGCCGCGAGGCGGAGCAAAUCCGAAAAAGCCGGUCUCAGUUCGGAUUGCAGGCUGCAAUUCGCCUGCAUGAAGUCGGAAUCGCUAGUAAUCGCAGGUCAGCAUACUGCGGUGAAUACGUUCCCGGGCCUU